rnacentral:rRNA from 1 species
GCAAGUCGAGCGCGAAAUCACUUCGUUGAGCGUAGAGCGGCGGACGGGUGAGUAACGCGUAGGAAUCUACCCAGUAGUGGGGGACAACUUGGGGAAACGCAAGCUAAUACCGCAUACGCCCUAAGGGGGAAAGCAGGGGAUCUUCGGACCUUGCGCUAUUGGAAGAGCCUGCGUUGGAUUAGCUAGUUGGUGGGGUAAAGGCCCACCAAGGCGACGAUCAGUAGCUGGUCUGAGAGGAUGAUC